CAGUAGCCACGGUAAUACGUAGGGUGCGAGCGUUAAUCGGAAUUACUGGGCGUAAAGCGUGCGCAGGCGGUUCGUUAAGACAGAUGUGAAAUCCCCGGGCUUAACCUGGGAACUGCAUUUGUAACUGACGGGCUAGAGUAUGGCAGAGGGGGGUAGAAUUCCACGUGUAGCAGUGAAAUGCGUAGAGAUGUGGAGGAAUACCGAUGGCGAAGGCAGCCCCCUGGGCCAAUACUGACGCUCAUGCACGAAAGCGUGGGGAGCAAACAGGAUUAGAUACCCGCGUAGUCCCUGUCUCUUAUAC
rnacentral:rRNA from 1 species